UACGAAGGGUGCAAACGUUGCGCGGAAUUAUUGGGCGUAAAGCGCACGUAGGCGGCUUAGCAAGUCGGAUGUGAAAGCCCUCGGCUCAACCAAGGAAGUGCAUCCGAAACUGCUGAGCUUGAGUACUUAAGAGGAUCGCGGAAUUCCCGGUGUAGAGGUGAAAUUCGUAGAUAUCGGAAGGAACACCAGUGGCGAAAAGCGGCUUCCUGGUCCCAGCACCGACGUUCAGGCACGAAAGCGUGGGGAGCAAACAGG
rnacentral:rRNA from 1 species